rnacentral:tRNA from 1 species
UGCAGCAUGGCUCAGUGGAAAGAGCCUGGGCUUCAGAGUCAGAGGACAUGGGUUCGACUCCCAGCUCUGCCA